rnacentral:misc_RNA from 1 species
GAUGAAGAACGUAGCAAAAUGCGAUAAGUAAUGUGAAUUGCAGAAUUCAGUGAAUCAUCGAAUCUUUGAACGCACAUUGCGCCCGCUGGUAUUCCGGCGGGCAUGCCUGUUCGAGCGUCAUUUCAACCCUCAAGCCCCUGGGUUUGGUGUUGGGGAUCGGCUCUGCCCUUCUGGGCGGUGCCGCCCCCGAAAUACAUUGGCGGUCUCGCUGCAGCCUCCAUUGCGUAGUAGCUAACACCUCGCAACUGGAACGCGGCGCGGCCAUGCCGUAAAACCCCAACUUCUGAAUGUUGACCUCGGAUCAGGUAGGAAUACCCGCUGAACUUAAGCAUAUCAAUAAGCGGAGGA